rnacentral:rRNA from 1 species
AUUGAACGCUGGCGGCAGGCCUAACACAUGCAAGUCGAGCGAGCGGCGGACUGGUGAGUAAUGUCUGGGAAACUGCCUGAUGGAGGGGGCUAACUACUGGAAACGGUAGCUACUACCGCAUACCAUCAGAUGUGCCCAGAUGUGAUUAGCUAGUGGGUGGGGUACUGGCUCACCUAGGCGACGAGCCCUAGCUGGUCUGAGAGGAUGACCAGCCACACUGGACCGGAGACACGGUCCAGACUCCUACGGGAGGCAGCAGUGGGGAAUAUUGCACAAUGGGCGCAAGCCUGAUACAGCCAUGCCGCGUGGAUGAAGAAGGCCUUCGGGUUGUAAAGUACUUUCAGCGGGGAGGCGUUACCCGCAGAAGAAGCACCGGCUAACUCCGUGCCAGCAGCCGCGGUAAUAC